AAUUUUUAUAUUAUAUACCUACUUGUACACAUAAUAAUAUAAAGAUAAUAGAAUAUAAUACUAGAUAACACGAUGGUGAAGAUUAACGAGAGCUGUUCACAUAUUGGAAGUAGACACAAGUAUAUUUAGUAUUUUAGUAUUACUUGAAGAUUAUAAGAUGCGAAAGAGCUGGAGUCAAUCUAUUAUGGUGGAUGCACUAGGAAUCAACCAGGAUGGUUUUCAUGGAGACCCUGAGGAGGGUGGAGGCAGACCUUUUAUUGCUAGUAUUGCUAGCAAUAGGACUAUUUCGUGCCUUACUGGAAAAUUAGAGCAAAUAUGAACUACUCAUGCCAGUAUAAACUUCGUAAUAACGGAUGCAAUGAUAAAGAUUUUUUUCAUUAAAAUCUACAAAAUAUUCUUUUGGAUUAGUUUACGUUGGAAUUUGCUAUGUUUCGUGAAUAGUAUAACAUACCUAAUAUUUCCGGCCAGGAAAUAACUUUCAGAGCCCACACGCCGUCCUUCAUGAGAUCCAGCUUGCCAAGAGGGAGGUCCUCGGAGUACUGGUAUUCGUCGUUAUUAUAUGCUGG